rnacentral:piRNA from 1 species
UGGCCAGGAUCUGGCUCUCGAUGGCUUGGA